UAAUCUCGUACUAAUAUUUAUUAGAUAUUGAUGUAAUAUGAAAUGAAUGUUGAUGUUGUUAAAUGACGUUGAUAUUCAAUUGCAUUCUUGUCCUAUGUGUCACGUGCGUAGCUCUUCGAGUCAUACGUAGCCACGCGCAAUUCACAAUGCGCAGGGCAGAAAAUCUGAUCAAUUCAGUGAUGUACUGAUCAGCAAUGAGCCCACUUAUUUUGGGCUUUUUAUCAAAAGAUAUACUAAUUGAACUUGGGCCUUCUGGUAGUUUUUUUUUUAAUUUUUUUUGGGAAACUGGGCCUUCCUGUGCGUUCAAGCUCAAGUGAACAUCUUACUUUUUCUUUUUCUGCUUAAUACCACUCAACAAGUUUUGACUUUUUGCAUUUCAUUUGCUUAAGGUUAAGGGAUACAACCAUUAUUUCGAUCCCACUAAUUAACUAAUCAUAUAUGCUUUUAACUCAUUUCGUAGAUUGACAAGUACGAGGUGUUACUGCAUCAUUGUUUGACAACUAAACAAGUAAGUAUUUGAUGCUAACGAUGGUUAAAAAACCCUUAUCUCCAAAUCACGAGAAAUUCUUACAUACAACAGAUCAUAUAUAUAUAUCUUUAUCUUUCUUUCUAUAACAUUCAUCAUGUGAUAAUCAUGUCGAGAAUCACCCCCAAAUCACACGUGACACAACCUCUCAUUACUUGAGUUCAAAACAUGCAUAUCUCAUAGAGGCAAAGGCUAUUCUUUAAUUAGAAUUUAGAUAUGUCAGUAAACAAGUAUAUAAUAUCUGGAGAUAAAACUUAAAAUAUACACUUUAUGAGGUUUGUGGUUUGAAAAGAGUUGAGAUAUUUGUUGAAAUUUUAGUCGCUUACUAAUGGAGAUAGUCUUAUAUAGUUUCGUCAUCUGUGAUAAACUAAUUUGCUUAUCUGCGGUUCUGCAGAAUGCUUAAUUUUGGGAUGAUAUAGUAACUUAACAACACUCUGAGCAAAAGAACACAAACUUUUUAGAUCAAUUUUGUAAAGAGUCGUGAAAUAUAUCUGUGGCACGCUUGUGUUGGUUAUUCUUAUCAUUUGUUCGGAAACAAAUUGUCCAAAUUCAAACAAACCGAACUUAUACGCGUCGAUACUUUUCCCAAUUUAACCACCUGGCAAGUUACCAAAAGGUCUUGACAGUAGGGUUUCCUUCAACAUGACUCUAAUUUAAGCCACUUUUUUGCAUAAGUCCUUAUAUUUAAAAGAGCCAGAAAUCACUUUCUUUUGUUUUUUCUUUCUUUAACACAUAGUGUUUAGUUACCUCCAGAAAUUGGAACCUAAUGUUGAAAAAGUCUCUAGUACUGCUGUAAAUUGAUACCGCUGCAAAUUGAAGAUUCAAUUAAACAUGAUAAUCUACAUAUCAUAGCUCAAACAAAAAUACCCAGAUCAAGGAAUCAAGCAAAUAAACAUCACGCAGAUUAACUAGAUUAAUUAUUAAAGUACAACAACACCCUCACCUUUACAUGCAGCACAUAACUAAAAGCAAUAGGGACCAACAUAAUUAACAAAAUUAAAAACACCUAAAACAAAGCAUAAUUAGCAUUAUUGAUUUCCCAUACUACUGUUACGAUAAAACGUACAUAUAUAUCUAGUUAGGCCACAGGAACGCUCCUAUGGAAAACUGCCUCUUGUGUUGAACAUCCCCAGUGAUCGGCAGACCAUACUCUCGAAGCAAGCAGUCAAGCUUCCACUCCGGCAUGGUCUCAUAGUCGGACUUAGUGUACCGCGGAUAGUGCAGAGGCAUCUGAAAGUAUCCGCAGCGCUCUCCCUUGUGUUGUCCGUUGGCUGCACCACCCGUGGUUGAUCGCGCCCUAGCCACCGAUUCCAGGCCUCCUCCACUCAUAGCUAGGGUUAGCUUGCUUGUGCCUGUGUGUUUCGUGGUUAGUUAGGGUUGUGGGACUUGAGGAGGAGGUGGCUAUUUAUAGAGAUUCUGAUGUGAAAACCAGAGAAAGGAAUAAUAUUGUUUGCUGUAUAUGUACGAAGCACAGCACUGUCGAGGCUGUGAAAUAUGUAGUACAAUUUUAUGGAGAAAACAAAGUUGCAAUACAAAUGUUGGACAGUUAAAACCAAAAUUGGGAAGGAAUAGUGGGAGAGGUGUCACCCCUCACAAGAUAUUUUUUUGUUUUUGGAAACUCACAAGAUUUUUUUUUUCUUUUUUUUUUGGAAACUCCCCUCACAAGAUAUUUGGUAAUUGUUUUAUUUUGGGAAAAAGACAUAAGAUAUAGACAAGUGCCAUAAGGAAAAGGAAACAUCGAGGAAUUUUUCUUUCGGAUAACAUUCUUUGACAGGGUAAGAAAUUAUUUUCCACUUAAUCGCUUUUGUAUUCUCCAAGAAAACUUCAAAUGCAUUACGUUUUCUAGAAUGUUUAUUUUUUGAGAAAAUUUGAAAUAUGUCCAAUUUUAUAGGUCUGCUUUUGAAAUAGGUCUAAUUUUUAGUUACUUUGAACUCAUAUCAAAAGACUCCUUAUUUUUUCCACCACGAAUUCUAAGUUUUGAGUAACUUUGUGUUUUCCACAGCCGACAAAGUGGAAAAACUGCCUUUACCUGCACCGUCGUUUCCACUCAUCAAUGAUUAAAUCAUAACGUGUCUAAGUAGAACUUUCAAACUUCAAAUUAAGUUUAUGAAGCACAUUGCCUUCAAGUUGUAAACUCAACUGACGUUGUAAGUUUGAGCUAUUUUUUUUUAAUGGUCUAAACUACUAAGUAGUAUGAGAAAUAAACAAUCAAGAUUGAAUUAAGGAGAUACUACUUUUUCUUACUUCUCGAUCUAAUAGAUAUAAAGUCGGUGUUAAAGUAAAUGAAGAAAUUUAAAGAAUAAUCUGAACGAUAACUUUGAGGUACGACUUGAAUCGUUUCAUUGAAGUGUUAUUUGCCCCCACUCAAAUAAGUUUGCUAAAGGAUUCUUCACUUCCAGGAUAUAACAAAGUAUGAAAUAUUUUAGCAAAACCGAAUUAUAUUCCCUUAGAAAUAACUAGAAAAAAAUUGUAUGAAUGUGAUGGAGAGACUAGAGAGCAAGGAAUAUAGAAAUAAAUUUCUGAAAUUGUGUGUGAAACAUUAUGCCACAGUAGAUAUUUAUAGGCAUUAAGGCAUCCGUUCAUUGAAUCCUUUCAUUUUAGUUGAAGAUAUACAACUCUUCUUAAAAAUGUUGAUCCAAAAGACAUGUCUUCUAUUUAGAAUUUUCAGAAAAUAAAUAUUGAUUAUUUAUAUCUUUUAAUUUUACUUAUAAAAUUUGAGUAAACAUCAUGUCUUUUAACCAAAGUUGCAACCAUCCAACAAAAUAUACAAAGGUUGAAUGAAACCCAACCUUUUGUAAGGAGUUGCCGACUGUACACAUGAUGCGCACUGCAGCACCGCACACAUGCUACACAAUGCAGCAUAUAUAUAUAUAUAGGGUUCAUGAAUAUAAUAUAAAUAUAAUAUAAUAUAAUAUAUAUUCUUUGAAAUAUUCAACAGCCGGACUACUGGGAUAGUCCAGUAGCUUGGACUAUGAAAGACUUAACCUAAGUUUGAGAGGUUCAAACUUUAACAUCUUUUGAAUUUUGAUAAGAAAGAGAAGUAGCUCACUGAUAAUAAGUUGUAAACUCAACUCACGUUCUAAGUUUGAACCUUCAAAUACCCGAAAUUCAUCUUAACUUUGUGACCUUUAGAAAGUAGGUUGUGAGAAUUUUACUUUUUCGGUGGUUACUUAAAUUUUACAAAUUCAUCCAAGCAAUCUAACAAGUGAUCGUAGCUGCAAUCUAACAAGUGAUCGUAGCUGGUAUUACUUCAAUCAUGGAAUGAUUUUUAUGGUGUAAUAAAUUCUCCUACCAAACAAACAAAAUAAUUUCCAAUCUACUUGUGCUCUCCAUAUGUCUCGUGCAUCAUUAUGAAUCUGCAAUUAUUCAGAAAUGUUCUCCAUUAGAACGAUGGUGUACUAUAAUCUUCUCUACUUAUAGAUGAGAAGUAUUAGAUUUGAAUUUUAUGAAUGAUAAGUUUGACAUUAACUUAGUCUCUCACCCUUUAGUAUAAAUAUAUCGUUGUAUAUAUGUAGAUGAGGCGGAUUCGUGACAUCAUUUUUUUUACACAACUUUUGACACAAGGUUUUGUGAGGUCCACUCUGUAAUUUAUUUUAAUGAUCCAUGCUGUCUAUAUUUUAGAACAUCAUUCAUAACUCGGCCUUGCAAAAAAUGAGACAAACCCAAAACCACUAAAACAUUCAUUUGUAGUGAAGAAAAUCUACGAAUACGGUUAUACAAAGAAACCAUAAACUCUUCAUCCAACGCUAAUAUGGUUUCAGAAUUUGGUGAUAUUAUUUGUAGACAUAAAUUUUUAGGGAAUACCUAAAAGAUAUGGUUCGGAUCAUUAAAAUACAUGACGAAAUAGGCCCCACAAAAACCUGUGUCAAAAGUUAUGUAAAAAAAAUGAAUCAACCCCCUAUAUGUGUGUGUAUGUGUAUAUGUGUAAUAGGAAUUGUUAUUGACACUCCAAAAAUCUUAUUAUACACUCUUCACAAGUGUUUUUUUUUUCUAACUAUGAAAAUUUUGGAGUGCCAACAGUAUUAAAAAAAGUUAGCAGAUGUGGAGUCAACGUAGUUAGCCAAAGUAGUGUACUCGCAUAUUUGGACUUAAAUUUGAAUUUAUCGUAAGUUAGAGUGAUUAAGAGUACUUUAAUAUGAUAUUUUCAACUGAAAAUUCAGAGAAGUUAUUUAUACAUGUAACAUAUUUGAGGAGUCUAAUUACAAUGUAUGCCCCCAUUUAAUGAUACGAAUUUUAUAUAAGAUUUAAACCGUUGAUUUUCGGAAUAUUCAAUGAUAUGUACCAUGAAGGAAAAUCUGAAAUUUGAGCAUUGGAAUUGUUAGUGGUGGUUGUGAAUGAAUGCUGAGCAUAACUGCAAUGAUUCAGUGCCACUAGGGUUGUGCACAUUCAAUGCAAAGCAUUGAUGUGUUUCAUUAGUUAUUUUCCGACUCCAAUGUCCACACAUUCGAUCAGUGUGUGGAGUUUGAGACAUCUAUGGCUUAGAUAUCUGCCAAUAAAUUAUGAACAACUUACAUAAUUAAAAAUACAUAUUUCUCGUGUGGUAUCAACUAUAUAAUGAUGUGUAGAUAAAAAUUUGUAGAUGUGAUAAACACUGCAGGCUCAUGCAGAUUUACUAUCAACGUCAUUGAUAUUAUCCUAACUUAAUCACCUAGUAUUACUAGGCGUUGAGUUUUAUUAUAAAAGACUUAUGUGAUAUUAAAGGUGAAAACUCUCAUAAAUUGAUUAUUUUUGUCAUAUGACUGACGUGAAAUCCUAUUCUCCAACAAGAUAUUCUUAUUUACUUAACAUAAAAUCAUAAUAGCGAUAUACUCGUGUCAUAGAAAUCUUUCCCAUCGAUUCAAUACAUAAAUGCAAACGUACAAUUUGUAUAUAAAAGUAGCUAACUCUAUUCAUGAAGCAUAGACAAGUGGAAUAAGCAAGAGAUAUAGGCCACAGAUGGUGCCUUCACCCUCACAUCAUUCAUGUCGGUGGUACCAGUCCGUUCUCGAAUUACUAUUUACACUAUGGUCAUGUUUGAUCAUUGGAAUUGGAUAGUUUUAGGAGGUAGGAUUGGAUUGCAUUGGUGUUACAAACUUGGUGAAGCACGUGGCGAAUUUAUUUUAAUGGUUAGAAUCUUUCUUUUCAACUUAUUACGUUUUGAGGCUUAAACCGUAGUCAUCUCUUUAGUAAAGAUUGACGUACAAUAUCGAUUGUAUUAAACAAAAACCAUAAAAUUAAAUUAAACACUUAUCCUGCCCAUUAAUAUUCAAAUCUUGAUAUUAUGGAGCUAGUAACACAACCCUUUCUACCACAUGAUCAAAGUGAUGACCACCACACUACCAUUGGCCUCAAACAAGUCAACACCAACCACAUUACCCAUAUAGAUUUUCUCACACGAAACCAUAAAUAUUGUGUUUCAAAUAACAUAUAUGGCUUGCAACAAGUGAAUACGUAAUAUGGUCUUGAUAUGGUGUUAUGAAGAAGGCCCGCCAUAUGUUGUAGCCUGUAAGUGAAGCAACAUAAGAGUCAAACAGGGAAUUGGUCGUUAAAUUAUAGUUGAAUUGUAAUUUUGGUCUCUGAACUAAAGUUUAUGUCUAAAAUUAAUAUAUAAAAUCUGACAAAAUAUGGAAGUUUAGUCAUUGACGUCAAUAUUGUGAUAAUGUCCGUCAAAAUUAAGCAUGUGACACACAUGUUAUUAAAAGGGACAUAUGAGCACUUCUCUAAUUUUCUCUUUGACAAAAAUUUUCACUAAAUUGGCAUGAAAGACUAAUGCUCCACAAUUUGUCAAAUUUAAAUAUUAAUUGUAAUAGAUUUUUGGGUAAAUUACAUAAAAUUGCCUCAAUUAUUGGGCUAGUCACAUUUCAUACCCCAUCUUUAAAACAUUUCAAUGUCAUACAUCAUCUUACGAAUUUGUUACAAUUUCAUACAUUCCAUCAGUUUGUCCGUCAAUUCUUCCGUUAAAUAGUGACGUGGCUUGAGAUGGAGCUGACUCUCUAUUAAAAAAUUAAUUAAAUAUUAAGAACUAAAAAAAUAAAAUCAUCUAAUAAUUUUUUUUGGGUAAAUUACAAAAAAACUAUCUCAACUAUUCGUCUGACGAUACUUUCAUACCUCAUCUUUUAAAAAUGACAAUAUCAUAUCUCAUCUUACGAAUUUGUGCCAAUGUUAAACCUCCGCCAGUUUUUCUGUUAAAUGCUGACGUGACCAGAGACGAGACCCACUCACUAAUCCAACUGGAUUAAAAAAAAUAAAAAAUGUUUUUAAUAAUUAAAUAUUCAAAAAUUAAAAAAAUUAAAAAUUAAAAAACUAAAAAAUAAAUAAAAAAUGGCCUAAUGGAUUCGACCUUCCCAUCCCCCCGCACCAACCCUUUUUCUUCUUCUCUUCAACAGCCACCAAACCCUUCCCCAUCCCCCUAACCUUCCUCCACCACCAUCUCUCUCUCUUCUCUCUGGAAUUCGGUCUCCCUCAUCCGUCCCUCUCCCCACUCGCACUUGUCCUUCCCUCGCUACCACCUCACAACCCGACCCAUCCCUCCCCUAGUCCCUUCAUACCCAACCUUCCUUCACCACCCCACCGCCGCCUCUCUUCCUCCAUCUUCACUACCCCACUGAAGAAACCAAAAAAACCAAGCCCACACCUAGAUCCCACACAAAAAAGGGUAAAUUACACAAAACUACCUCAACUAUGGGUCGAACAACACUAUCAUACCUCAUCUUUUAAAAUUGACGAUAUCAUACCUCAUCUUUAGAAUUUGUUCCAAUGUUAUACCUAUGUUAGUUUGUCCGUAAAUUUCUCAGUUAAAUGCUAACGUAACUUGAUAUGGGGCCCAGUUUCUCGCCCAGAUGGAUUCUACGUGGCACCACACCCAUUACUACACUCAUUCCUCUGUCCUUUUCCUAUUCACUCCCAUUCGAUCCUGCCAAAUGCCCAGAACCAAGCCUUUUAUUAAAAUCGUACCCUCAUUCGAUUUCCCCUUCUGUUUGUUUGUAUUUGCCAAUCGAAUCCUCCGAACCGCCAAUCACAAUCACCACCGCCAAAAUUCUCCCAACUCCCCAGAAACAAACACGAAAUUGAAGCAAACCCAAAUUCCAAUAGAUCAAAUUAUGGAAUUACAAUGCAUAAUGAUUAAAAAAUUACCUUAAUUUACACGAAAAGCUUCAAGAUCUAAAGUAGGGAAAUUUAGGGAAAAACCCACCGAGCGUAGUUCAUCUUCUUGUAAAACCGAAUCGAGAAAAAUGAGAGCAACAAAUUCACCUCGUCCUUUCCCUACUGAGCGCUCGACGGCUUCAAGUUCAACAUCGGCUUCCUCGGAGCUAUCGCCCAAGGCAAAGUAGAGGAGGACGCCACCGACGAGAAAGAAGGGACGAAGCUGGAAGAGGAGGAGGCCUUGCUGAGAUGCCAGAUGUAGUGGGCGUGAAGCCGCCGGAACCCGCCGAGAGUGAGGACCACAUAUCUCAGCUGCUGGCUGCCGCAGCCAGUGUUGGUCUAGUGCCUGGUGCAUAUCAGCUCUCAAAGCCGCUCAUCCUCUGUCAUUUCAUGCCAUUGCUUGUUCACGCACGACGCCAUCCCCAACGUCCGCGCAUCCACGUGCUUGAACACCUCGAAGAUCAAAUUGUCGUCUAGAUUCGAAAACCACGCCCCUUUCAUCUCAUCCUGGUCGAUGGGCGCCGAUGGGUUCGAAUGGGAAGAUCUGGGACGAGGUAAGGUUAAGGUUUCAGGGAAAUUGGAGGUUUUUUUGUUUAAAAUUGGUCUAGAGAUGGAGAAGGUGAGGGAUUGUGGGGUGUUUGGUUACAGAUUUAAAUUUGUGAGGGUGAUGAAUUUGUAGGGGGUGGGUCCCACUUAUUUUAUAAAAAUAUUAAAUAAAACUAUUAGACUAAGGAGUGGAGCCCAUCUUAAGCCACGUCAGCAUUUAACAGAAAAAUUAACAGAAAAACUGACAGAGGUCUAACAUUGACACGAAUUUGUAAGAUGAGGUAUGACAUUGUCAUUUUUCCAACAUAAGGUAUGAAAUUGUCGUUGGACCUAUAGUUGAGGUAGUUUUUUGUAAUUUACCAAAAAAAAAACAUACCAAACCCACACCCAGAUCCCCUUCCCCUCCUACACACUCAUCACCCUCCUACCUUCUCUCCACCCAGUCCCUCCUCUGACCUCUCUCCUCCAUUUGAUUCGUCGUCGACCCCACACCUCCUCCGAUCUCUCUCUUCCUCUCAACCUCUCGACCUCUCGAUUUCCUCUUCCUCUCGGCCGUCAAAACCUUCAUAUCCUUCCCACCUCCGCUCUAUUCGCCUUCAGACCCUUCUUCUCCUCCCUCUCUCCGCUGCUCUCCUCCUCGGCUCCGGUGGUUACAGAGAGAAGAGGGAGUUAGAGGGGAGAGAGAGUUGCGGGAGAAGAUAAAGAGAAUAGAGAGAAAAAGGUUGGUGCAGGUGGAAGAAAGGAAGGCCCGCAUCCAUAUGCCUUUUUUAUUUGUUUAGUUCUUUAAUUUUUAAUUUUUUUAAAUUUUUGAAUAUUUAAUUAUUUUUUAAUCCAGUUGGAUUAGUGAGUGGAUCCCAUUUCUGGCCACGUCAACAUUUAACAGAAAAACUGACGGAUGUCUGACAUUGACAUAAAUUCGUAAGAUGAGGCAUGACAUUGUCAUUUUUAAAAGAUGAGGUAUGAAAGUGUCGUCACACCAAUAGUUGAGAUAGUUUUUGUCAUUUACCCUUUUUUUUUUUGCAUGGGGGACCCACCCCUUAUCCCCCUCACCCUUCUUCCCCGCCCAUGUCUUCCCCCAACCCAAAACCAGAACCACCCCAAAUCCAGAUCCCACAUGUGCCAACAUAUCCCCCCCCCACCCUCCUCGACCACUCAUCCCACUCCCUCACUCUUCUCUUCCCUCCCCAGAAACAAACAAACUUUGAAACAAAAAAACCUAGAAUUUUUUUAUAGGUGAUCGAUUCUACCGAUUCUCUUCCCAUUCUCUCUUCUUUUGGCCGAUUUUGCCGUCGCCCGCCCCCCCCCCUCGGGCACCCGUGGCACAUCAACGUUGCUCCCCGCCUCCUCUUCCAAACCCCAAACCAAAACCCAGAAAAAUCCGAUCGAACCCGCUCUCAUUCGACCCAGAACCCAAGCACAACUGCCUCCCGUCCCUUGAGCCAAAGCCCACAAACCCUUGAGCAAAGCCUGAAGCUUUCUCUUAAACAAGCGAAUUCGAAAUUUAGGGUUAGGGUUUGGGUGUAAUUGGGGUAUUUUGUUUGAAAUUGGUUACAAGGAUUAAUUUGGUGAGGGUGAUGGGUGUGUAGGAUGAGGGGGAAGGGGAGGAGCACCAUGGGAGGGAGGUGGAGAUGGAGGAAGAGAGGGCGGCGGAGGGUUCUGGUUUUGGCAUUAAAGGAAGGUUGGGGGGACACAGGUGGAUAGGGAAGAAAGGGUGAGGGGGAUAAGUGUUGGGUCCCCCAUGCAAAAAAAAAAGAUUUUAUUUUUUUAGUUUUUAAUAUUUAAUUAAAUUUUUAAUAGAGAAUGAGCUCCGUCUCAAGCCACGUCACUAUUUAACGGAAGAAUUGACAAACAAACUGACGGAAGGUAUGAAAUUGUAACAAAUUCAUAAAAUAAGGUAUGACAUUGAAAUGUUUUAAAGAUGGGGUAUAAACUUAUGAUUGACCCAAUAAUUAAGGUAUUUUUUAUGUAAUUUACCCUAGAUUUUUUUAUUUAACGAACCAAAACGGAAGACUGCUACCAAUCUACAACUAAGUAUGAUAUUCUUUUUAGAUACAACCAUAUGUUUACAUUUAGAGAUGAAGAAGUAUCUAACUCAUCAUUAACGAGAUUCAAAGUAAAGAAUAUAAAAAAAAAGUUCAUCACUAGCCAAUUAGGAAAAAAUAAAAAUUUAUGGAUGGAAAAAACAAAAACGGAUAAUAAAGUAAAAGAUGUCUUUAAAAUGGGUUAUCAUAUUUUACACCAUGAAACCAAAAAGCCAUUAGACUCCUAAAAUCAACACCACCAUGGCAUGCACGGUUCAAAUCCCCUCCGAACAAGAGGAACAGCACUAGGGUUCACUCUUCAAAAAUCCAAAGCAAGUGGUUUUAAGAUUGGGAAAUGAUUUUCGCACGGUGCAUGCAUUAUCCUUCCUAUUUGUGUUUGUUUCGUCAUUUACCACUGAUUUACUCAGUCAUGUGGCUAGAAACGAUUGGAAAAGUAAACUAGUUACAAAUUUGCUUUAUUAUUAUGAAAUGCUGUUUUGGUAUUUUUGUUUUGGAGUUUUCUUGGAUCACGUAUCACGUCUUAUAUAAGGUCUAGUUUGAUAGUUAGAAUUGUAUUAGAACGAACUUAAUAAUUCUCUAAAUUCAGUAUAUAUUAACGUUAUUUAUUUUAUUAUAUUUAAAAAGGAAUUCAGUUAGAACGGUUAACACACUUUCUAAAUUGAGAAACGGAGACAUCGAAGCUGGCGGGAAAUAUUGGAAGGACAACCGCACACAAACAACACUUAACAUUCCCAAAAUUCUUCACUUUCUAACCAAAUCCAAAAUUUUCCAGGAACAUCUCAUUGUUUUCUUACUGAUCUGCUAGGCUCGAUUUGACUUUUCGCUCUGGAGUACAAUUUUUCUUACCCCUUUUUUUGAGUUAUUUUAAGUGUAUUCCACGUACUGGGUACUCUCUUUUAACUAUCAGCCGGAUUUGGCUGGAAGAAUAAUUCAAGUUGGAUAAUCCGGCUUUCGAUUCGAUUGGUUGCUGAGAAAACCUAGAUGAGUUUGUUUGUCUCUGCUGUUUCAUCGACAAGAUUUGGCAGAAACCCUCAUCGUCUUCGAUGUCCUUCUUCGCAUUGUUGUUCUUAAAGAAGCAAAAUUUUUUGGGGUUCCUUACGGUGCAAGAAAAGACAUUUUGCAUGUUUGGUGGUUGACAUUUCCUUCGAUCGAACAAUUUUAUCCUGGUUAGUCAUAUAAUACCUCGACCAUUAUCAUUGUUUUCUUAUUACUUCUUUUUGUUUAAUACGUUUGGUUCCAUUAUUUCAAGAUUUCGCGGUCGAAUCCUGAAAUGGAGCAAUUUCGAAAGAUCGGGGAGGAUUUAGGAAGUUUAAAGGCCUUAAUGGUGUUCCAAGACAACAUCCAAAUCAAUCAGCGGCAGUGCCUUCUGCUGCUCGAUAUCUUCAGCUCAGCGUACGAAUCAAUAGCGGAGGAGAUGAGACAUAAUCUUCGGUUUGAUGAGAAGCACAUGAAAUGGAGGGUUCUCGAGCAGCCGCUGAGAGAGCUCCACAGGAUAUUCAAAGAAGCAGAAGCUUACAUUCGACAAUGCUUGGAAACCAAGGAUUGGUGGGCUAAGGCCAUCACUCUCUAUCAGAACUCCGAUUGCGUUGAGUUUCACAUCCAUAACCUACUUGCCUGCAUGCCAAUCGUCAUUGAAGCGAUUGACAUUGCUGGAGAAGUUUCAGGGUGGGAUCAGGAUGAGAUACAGAGGAAGAAAACCGUGUUUGCGGAUAAGUACAAAGAAGACUACAGAGAUUGGAAACUUUUCAAGUGGAGGUUUGGGAAGCAGUAUUUGAUUACUCAAGACUUCUGCAAUAGGUUUGAAUCAGCAAGCAAAGAAGAUAGAUGGACUCUGCAGCAUAAAAUCCGCGAAAAGAAACUUUCGGGUUCAACAAAGUACGGGAAACGCCUCAUAGAUCUCCUUUUCAAAAGCAUAGACGGAUCAGAGACACAGAAUUUGAAUGGGAAGCUCUUACCUAGUUCAAUCCUGGUGGGGUCUAAGGACUACCAGGUGAGGCGGCGACUUGGGGGUGGAAGUCAGUAUAAGGAGAUCCUAUGGUUGGGUGAAAGCUUUGCCUCAAGACAUUUAAUUGGAGAAGUAGAAACCUUGUUGCCGGAGAUUUCUUCGUUGUCAUUGCUUUCCCACCCGAACAUAGUGCACUUCCUUUGUGGGUUUACGGAUGAGGAAAAGAAAGAGUGUUUUCUCAUUAUGGAACUCAUGAGUAAAGACCUCUGCAGCUACAUCAAAGAGAUUUGUGGCCCGCGAAAACGUCUUCCAUUUUCUCUUCCUGCUGCUAUUGAUCUGAUGCUUCAAAUUGCAAGAGGAAUGGAAUAUCUCCACUCGAAGAAAAUCUACCACGGAGAUUUAAAUCCUAGUAAUAUACUUGUUAAAGCAAGAGGCAUCUCCACAGAAGGUUACUUACAAGCCAAGGUUUCAGGUUUCGGUUUAACUUCUGUCAAAAGCCCCACACAGAAAAGCACUUCAAAUCAGAAUGGGAGCCUACCUUUAAUCUGGUAUGCGCCGGAAGUUCUGGAAGAGCAAGAACAUGGAAAAAGUACUGAGAAAAAGUACGCAGAAAAGUCCGAUGUGUAUAGCUUUGGGAUGGUUUGCUUUGAGCUUCUGACAGGGAAAGUGCCCUUUGAGGACAGUCAUCUCCAAGGGGACAAGAUGAGCCGAAACAUAAGGGCGGGGGAGAGGCCGCUGUUCCCAUUCUACUCUCUUAGAUAUGUGACCAACCUCACAAAGAAAUGUUGGCAUAGUGAUCCAUACCAACGGCCAAGCUUCUCGUCCAUCUGCAGGAUUCUUCGCUAUAUCAAACGGUUCCUUGCAAUGAAUCCUGAUUACAACAGCCAGCUAGACCCACCGGUUCCUAUGGUAGAUUACUGUGAGAUUGAGUCAGUGCUUCUGAAAAAGAUUCCUUCUUGGGGGACUUCUGAACCAUCACCAUUAUCACAAAUCCCAUUCCAAAUGUUCGUUUAUAGGAUCGCAGAGAGAGAAAGAACAUCUUCAAGCCUGAAGGAUACUUCAGAAUCGGGAAGCGACGGAGCUUCAAUCUGUGGGGACGAAAUUGUGGUCCCUGCAGAUGAUUCGUUCCCAUCAACACCUGAAAGGAAGAGUUUCUCUUCGCCUGAUAGCGUGAAAAAGAAACUUCCAUUCUUGAAGAAAUCAUCAGAUGUGAAAGCCAACAGACUAUCAGGUUGCCCUAACCACACAACUCAUUUGUUCCUGAUUAUUUUCAAGACACAAAUUAAACACCUACAACUUAUUCACAAUCAUGGAAAAAUAAGAAAAGGAGAGUAGUGUAGUAUACAGACAUGCUAUGGUCAAUAAGAAAACAGGAUUAAUUCUUUUACGCACAUGUGAACUGAUGCGAUCUUUCUUUCGGUUACACAGGAACACCAAGAGGACGGUCCAGACCUCCACAGAUGACCCCUUGUGGCCGCAGUGUUAGUCUGAGAUUGGGUUCAGAAAGCCAGCUGAUGGAAAUGAGUCCAAGAAUACGGAGAACUAAAUCCGGACAUGUCUCAGAUUCAGAGCUCUCCUAGACCUUGAUAUGUCACACAUUGUGUCAACAAAUUAUCAAAGCUUCCAUCUAAUUUUCAGUCUAUGGAUUGCUCAGACGAACAUAAGAGAAGCACGGUUCAAGAUAGGAACAGUUUAGCUUGCCCCGAGAAGUAAACUGUGUUCAAGAACACAAAAACCUCUGCUGACGAAAACUCAAAUGUACAGAAACAACUCUAUACCAGGAGAGAGACGGAGGAAGAAGAAAUUGUUUAAGUCCCGAAAGUAAGGGGCAAGAUUUGCAAGAGCAUUGGGAUUUCAUUUCACAGUCAGAACAAGAUAUACAUACACCAUGAAUGGGCAGAAACUCAGGGAUCCUUCGCGAUAUCUUUACAAAGAGUUGGGUACAAACUUACAAGUUCGAGUCAUAUAGAGCUUACCUUUUGUACAUAACAUAUAAAAAUGUGGCAGACCCUUCCAAUCAUGAUAGCUUGAAGGUUUGCACUCUGUAGAGGAACGAUCUAUUCAAGGCAUCCGUCGAGCAUAGUGCAGGCGAGACUUCAACAGUGAUGAUAUCUGACAAGAUAUUACCGCUUAACAGCAAGACAAAAGACAAUCGGAAAUCAUUUCAGCCGGGGGCGAAAAAAGAGAUUGUAUAUAUCUUUGCAAAGCAUUUAGAAGAGGCACAGUUUCUAUUAAAAUUUAGAGUUCCAAGCAUUUAGACUGAUAUCUGUACAUUUAAUAAUUUCUUCAACAGGUUGAUUAGGUUUUAUAUAACUUGAGAAAUUCUUUGACAACGCGGCUCAUCUACCCUUGCCAACUUCUGUCCACUUUCAUAAUUUACUACUCCAGGGAACGCUCCGGGAAUAAAUCGGAGGAACCUUUUAGUUAAUAUACAAUGAUCUUCAGUAACCUCCAGUUUUGGAGGAAGACCAGCUCAAACAUCGCUGCUGUACCCGUGAUUACAUGAAUGUCUGCAUUCCAUUCCCGCUCUGACAUUAACGAAUGGUACAAAAAUGUCAGUAUCAAGUUAUCAACAGGUAGAUUGUUUUCUUCAUGAAGUUCCCUUGUCACCAGCAGCCCAUUAAUUGAUAUCUUUUACAGUCCUAUACGCAUCCAGGAAGCGAAGGGUUGGCUCUGUUAAAUUUCUGUUCAGUGUAAUCUUCAACCUGACCCGGUUCUGCUUCCAGUACCCAUUUUGAUCCUAACAGGACGUACAAAUAAAAGAAUUUUGGGGACAGAACAGAUUCUUUAGAUGAUUGAGGGCGAUAAACUUCAAUCACACCAUCUGCAAUAAUUUCAAAGUUCCACUUGAGUUGGCAGCAACAAGUAUGUUAGACUUUCUUCUCCAACAGACACUCGAGACAAACUGCCCGCUGCAAUCACCAACCUCACUUCCAGAAACAGGAUCAAUUGCUCCAAAUUUAUGUGAAGUGAUGGGCAUCGGUAGACUUCUGUAAUAACUAUAAACCUGUCAAGGGAAAAGCACAGAGAGCGGAACAAUUAUAAUUAGUUAAAAUCGGAGCAAGUGUUGGAAGGUUUCUAAUUUGUCAGAGAUUAUUCACUUAGGAACAUAUCUUUCUGAAAAAUCCUACAUUACGCAGGCCCUUCGCCAUCACAUGCUCAUUCUAAUACAACAUGACACGUUAAAGGGUAUGGCCAGAGGAUGCUUCAAACACCAACCCAUUAUUGAAAAAUAUUAAUUCAUAUCUGGAGCACAAAAACUUGGAAGAUAAACAAAUUCAUACCUCGUUAGUUUCUGAUCCACAUGCUAUGUAUCCAUCUGAAACAGAUAAACCCACGAAAUUCUGAAAAGGCAAGACGUGACGAGUUAGAACUAUAGAUAAGCUAUGCAAAACAUGAAAUGCUAGGAAAGUCGUAUGUCCAGAGUAAUUAGCCAACCUUCUCAUUAGUGUGACCGCUAAAUGUUAAGCUGCAGGCAUUGGGAGACAAUCCGGUUGAGGUAGAUUGGUUAAGAUCCCAAAGCUUCAGAGUGUUGUCUGUAGAUGCAGAAACAAGGGUUUCCGCAUCUACAAAUUUUACAUAGCUAACAGCUUUUCCAUGACCAGGUAAAGUGCACCAAGGGAUUCUAGUAUUCCGAAGAUCAUAGCCAUAAAUUUUGUAAUCAGCGGAUCCAAAAACCACGAGAUUGGAAGAGUAUUCAGAGAACUGAACACAACAUACAUUAGCUGCGUUCCAGAUUGUGUUUGUUGAUUUUUUCUGCAUAAAUAGAUGAAAACUUUCAGAAAGAUAAUCGAGGUCAUGAAGAUGGAAAUAUCUUGCUUUCUAAAGCAAUAUUCAGAACCAUAUACGAGAGCAUACCUCAUUAGUGCUCCAGAGUUUCACUGUACAGUCAUCACUUCCACUAGCAAACUUCUUUGGGUCAGCUUGAGAGAAGUCGACACACCAAGCCCGCCUUUGGUGCUCUACAUACUGAGAAAAUCCUUGACCAGUAGUUGCAUCCCACAUCUGAAUGAAGACAAAUGAAUACGGCAUUUUUUAUUCGUAAAGAGAACAGGAUGGUGACUUAAAAGAUCGCACAGGUAUGCACGAUUCGAUUUAUGUCUGAAUUUACAAAUUUUACACGCUAAUAGGUAGAAAAAAUUUUGUAAAAAAUACACACCUGUACGACUCCAUCAUAAUCCGAUGAAGCCAGAUAGUUCUUAAAAUAGUUGUUCCAGCAAACACAGCUCAACUUAGAUUUGUGUGGCAUUUCAACUACAGGAUAAUGGAUAUCCAAAGAAUUGUCUACAAGCGCAUCAAAAUCAAAGAUCUUGAUUUUCUUUGAUACUCCAGCCGUAGCAAUGUACUCCUCAUCACGGUCGAAACUCAAACAGCAAAUCACAUUGCUAGAGUUUAGAAGAUCUCUGUUUCUUAAUGUCCCACAUACUUCAAACUUGCUAAAGCGAGAAAACUUGGGUAAACCGUCAAAAAAGGCUCCAAGCCGAUCACCUGAUUUCUGGUUGGUGCUUGAAUCUUGACUACCAUUUCGCACAUGACGCCAACUGUCUCGAUUGUUUAACACCUCCUUAUCAGGGCGUGCUGCAGGAGCAGUUUUCUUUAGCCUCAUCUGGUAUCUUGUGGAUGCGUAAGCAUCCCCUAACUGGUUGAUAUUCAUCAUCAAUUGCGUCUCAAUCAUAUUUGACACUGAACCCUGUUCUCUGUCACUAUGAAAUUCCUUGUGUGCUAAGGAAGCAUCUGAGGAUAUUCCUGAUAAGGGCCUCCCCCCAAACUUGUUUAUAUCUUCUUCUAAGCGUCUUAUUUCUUCAACUAACUUAGAGGCAUGACCUUGCUUCUUGUCUUUUAAUGAGCUGAGAAAACUAAGUAAUGCCUCUGAUUCUGCAUCAAAAUCAUCAGCAGAUUUUGAGAAAUCGUCACAAGAAGCCGAUUCUUGUUUUCCACCCAUCAGUUCAGACUGCAGGAUCUCUCUGCAGCACACCGGACAAUAAGAACUUCAAAAUUUGGCCAAUUAAACAUAAAUAAGGGAUAUACCUUCAGGUCAACAUGCACUAUAUGAUUAAUAUUGUAAUGCUACCAAAGUAUUGAUUUUUCAUACUUAUGACAGUUAAUAAAAAUAGCAGAAGGCAGUAAAUUAGAGAACUGCAGAUGGUGAUACCUAGUUGUUGGACGAGACAAAGGUUCAGGAUGUAGAAGCCAUAAGCAAAAGCCAGCUCCGAGUGGAUUUUGAGAAAGAAAAUUUGGUGGCAGAAUCCGAUCGUGCAAAUCCCACAUCAAUGCGGAAUGCACCUCCCAUGAGUCACAGAGACGCAACAACUGUCAUGAACAGGCUGAGCAAGUCAAAUAACCCGGAGGACAGAACAAUUGAAGUCAAAAGCAAAAACAAACAGUUCAAAAAAAAGAACUCGUCAAAACAGUGGAAAAUAUCUUCUCACCUCAAAAAGAAGGACCCCAAGGGCAUAGACAUUUGAAGAAAGUGUGCAACCUCUCUCACUGAACUCCUCCGGACUGGUAUACCAUUUUUCUUCCAACUGAACAAUUGCAGAAGUUGACCCUUGCUGUACUGCAACCAAUUUAUUUUGGUAGCUUGAAUUCAUUCGGAACUGGAGUUCACCAUACUCAAAUUUUUUUGGACCAGCUAUGAAAUAUUCGUCCUCAUUACCUUCACUCAUUUUUGUCUGUGUUCCACCUAAAAUACGCUCAGCAUCUGCAUCUGCAUCCUGCUCGGAUUGCCUUUUGUUAAUCAAAUCUCGGUUCACAAUACUGAUUGGUUCUCUGAUGGCUGAUCCACCUGUGUAUUUAAUCUCAUUUGAUGGCAACAAAAUGAAGCGCGAUGGUCGUAAGUCUUGCAAGGGAACACCCUGAGAGUGUGCAAAAUCAACCAACUCCACAAUCUGCCUAAAUAUGAGCAGCCUUUCAGCUACAUCAACUUUGUGACUCCCAGGUUUAAGCCACUCUCUCAAGCUGAUCCCGUAACUGAUAGAUUUUGUGCCAGACUGAUUUUGCACAUGUGAAGAAAGCCGAUCAUUGUUGGCAUUUGCUUUCAACUCUGCAUCACUAGCUACCUCAGAACCAUAACGGGGCUUUAAAUCAUUCUGGCCUACAACCUGACUACCAAAGCCACCAUAAGGUUCUGGAAAUUUACUGAUUGUUUUUCCCUUUGACAUUUCCUUUACAAGUAACUGAGAAUUGCUAUUUGUAGAUUGGGUCUUCAGUCGCUUCUUGGCAAUACUAAGCAUAUUGUUUGACAUAAUCUUGCUGUCCUCAGCCCUUAAAUACGCAGACAGUUUAUCUGCCUCCUGCUCAGAGUGAUUGCUUGACAAUGGCUUCAGACUCCUUACACGAGGAGACAUUUCUCUAAGCUCGCCUCUUACUCUCAACAGAUUCUGAUCAUUGCCAAGUGACGUAGAAUCUCCGCGAAAAUUCUUGCUUCUGAAACCUCGUGCUACUGCCGGAUCUGGAUCUUGCCAACAUUCUUGACUAGAAGCUGAGUCUGGUUUCCUAUAAUGUUUCAAUUUUAAUUCUUCCACCACCUGCCCCAUGCCAUUUGCAGACCAGCGGGGCUCAAAUCCAGAUGAAGAAGUUACACAUCUACUCAAAUCCUUGCCCUCCAUUGUGGACACCACCGGCGACUCAGGCAGAUUUUGACCCUCCAGUGCUACAUUGUGAAAAGGAUCAACCUCCUUUGGCUUGAGCUUUUCAUUCCUUACUGCUACACGAUUUGCAGCCAUGUUAUCGACAAAAUUCUCCAUACCAUCCAUCUUUCACUUCAAUCAAUGGAGAUUAAUAAUUUGUUGUGACGUGGCCUACUCAUGUCACAAUAAAAACGAAUGAAUCAAUGAUAAGGAUCAUGAAUUAAUCCAUAAACUCAUCUUUUACAUAGGAAGAACAUAAAACACAUCUCUAAUUACCUAAAUUAGGAAAAAUUAAUAGAACAACUAAUUCUGGAAAAACAAAGAUACCAUCUUGGCGACCCAAAAAGAGAGCAUAAAUUGCCUAAAACCCAAAAUUACAAUCUCAUGAAACAACAUAGAAAUAAUGAGUUAAAUCAAGUUAAUCAGCAUAAUUUAAUUUGUAGUUAACAUUCAACAUAUCUCUCAUCAUUCAAAAUAAAAUAACACAUGCAUCAUCAAAGUAGCAACACAGAAUCUAAACAAGUUAAUCAAAUUCCAAACAAUAUUACAAAAAAUUAACCAAAACCCAUUAACCUUAAUCAGAUUUCAAACCAAAAAAAGAAAAGGCAUUACCAUUGAAUCAAGCUCCAGACUGUUCAACAAUAUCAGCAAGCCAACCCACCACCAAACCCCCUGCAAGCUCAGAACAGAGAUGCAUAAAAAACUUCCCUCAAAUAAUUUUUUUUUUUUUUAAAUAAAAACUACAAAAAGUGGAAAAUUUAUAUAAAACUCUAAUCUAAAAUCUUUUGCGCGGUAACAGGAGGACCUUGAUUAAAUUUUAUCAAUUUGAAAACUUGCUAGUUAAUAUGAUCAUAAUAUCAAAUUAUAUUUUUGUGUAUUUUACACUUGAAUUUGAAGCUUGUGGUACCUUUCGUUUUGCUUGUUUCGAAUUUCGGAGAGGCUUUUGCAAAUUGCAGUCUGUGGCCAAGAAAGCUACAACCACGAUACUUUUCCCCCCCCGCAAAAUUUGUGAACGAGACCGAUUAGUUAAGUCGGUUGUUUUCUGCGGAGACGUGUACACAGAAGUGGGCAUAGACUUGGGUUUUAUUACUGAUUGCGACGUGUUGAGAGUUUUUGUGCUUUCAUGAGCAACUGCGGCAAUUAGUGAGUGAUGCAAGUAACCUUUUUUUCCUCCUUUUUCUUUCCCAAAUUAGAUCUUACCGUCUUAAGCAUGUGAGAAUUUGUUUUAAGGAAAACUAAUGAAAAAGACUUGAAACUUUGAAUUUUAACAAUAAAGACAAAAUAAAGGGUAAAAUGAAUAGUACUAGCCUACCAGGAUUGACUUUUUAGUAUAAAAAUAUAGUUUUUCGUUAAAAUGAACAGUAUCGGAAGCUUUUCAUUAAAGUUCUUUUCGUUUUAAUCAAUGUGGGAUGAUGUAUUCAAAAUUGGAACCUUUCAAAAUUAAGAACGAGGUAGACUGUGAGUUGUCAAAGCAAUGUGUUUAUUAGUUUAGUGUUGACAUCACAACACAUGGAGAUAUACGCGUAGUGCAAAUAAGAAUCAGCGAGAUAAGAAUUCAAUAGUGUUGGGAAUGAGAGCAAUGUUGUACACCAAUGUGAGAUGAGGUAUUAAAAAAUGGAACCUUUCAACAAUAAGAACAAGAUAGAGUGUAAGUCCUCAAAGUAGUCUGUCUUUAUUUAGUUUAGACAUCAUAACACUUAGAAACAUAGGUGUAGCACAAUUAAGGAUGAACAUGAUAAAAAUUCAAGGAAAUGAGAGCAAAGUAGUACACCAAUGUGGUAUAAGGUAUUCAAAAUUAGAACCUUUCAACAUUAAGAGCGAGGAGUAGAAGUCGUCAAAGUAGUAUGUCCUUAUAUAGUUUAGUAACAAAACACUAAAUGAUAUAGGUGUAGCACAAAUAAGAAUGAACAAGAUAAGAAUACAACAUAUAGGAAAUGAAAGCAAUGUAGCACACCAGUGUGAUCUGAGGUAUUCAAAAUUGGAACCUUUCAACACUAAGAGCAAGGUAAAGGACUAUAGUUAACGUUAUGUGCAGCCCAAAGUACGUUAACGAGCUGUUAUUUGUGCUAAUUGUAAAUGUAAAUGCGAAAAUCCUGAGACAAAUUAGACAAUAACACAUGUACAAAAUAAUAAUUUGUAUUAAUGUAAAUGUAAAGUUACAAUCUCUUUACAACUUGAUCAUCUGAUCGAUUUUCCAAAAUAUGUAGAUGUGUGAUGUAGGGGUUGUUGAUCCAAAAUGUGUAAAUACGUUAACAAACUGUUAUUUGCGUUGAUUGUAACGUAUAUCGUUUAGAGACCACAAAGGUUCGAUAAACACCUCUUAUCGUCAAGUGAUGAAACAUAGAGUUUGUUGUAAGGGCAACAUGGAGCGUGGUAAAUAUAGAGAGUAUUUGGAUGCACUGAGAAUGAACAAUAAGGUGGUUCAAAAAUUACAGCUGACGCGACAAUGACGAUCGAUACUUUUGACCAGACUAUAUUUUUAUCGUUGAAAAAGACGAAGAGUUAACAAAUGGAAAUAGUGAAAGGUAAUGAUACCUUGUAAAUAUCUAUUUACCUACAUUAUUGUAUAUAUCAUAUAUGUUUGGUAUAAAAUGAUAAAAGAUGUCAUGGAAUUCAAACUUUAAAGUUAUAUCAAAUUACGGUUAUUAUAAAUUUUAAACGAACAAACGAAUGUUUGGAAUUCAUAAUUAUCAUGAUUUUUUGUUAAGUAAAUUACAUAGUAGCCCCUCAGGUUUAAGGUCUAUUACAACCACAUACAACAUCUUUAAAACAUUUCACUUUCAUACCUCACGUUCUAUUUUAUUUCAAAAUAAUACCUCCGUUACAUUUUCCAUCCAUUAAUCUGUUAAAUGCUGACGUGACCCACAUUUGUGCCACGUGGCUGCCAAAUGUGUGCCACGUGGCAAUUUUUAAAAAAAAAAAACCUAAAUCUUCUAAAAUAAAUUAUAAAACUAAAAAAAAAAAAAAUCAAAAAAAAAACAUACAAACUAGAAACCCCCCGACCACUUCUCCAUCUCCUCCCUCUCACCUCCCAUCCCUUCUCUCUCCCAGACCCACCUCCAUCCCUUACAAAACCGUCACCCUCACC
rnacentral:lncRNA from 1 species